rnacentral:tRNA from 1 species
GCGCCAAUAGCUCAGUUGGGAGAGCGUCAGACUGAAGUUCCACUUCAGUUUAUCAAAAACCUGGGGUAAUCUGAAGGUCACCCGUUCAAUCCGGGUUUGGCGCA